rnacentral:rRNA from 1 species
GCCUACGGCCAUACCACCCUGAAUGCGUCUGAUCUCGGAAGCUAAGCAGGGUCAGGCCUGGUUAGUACUUGGAUGGGAGACCGCCUGGGAAUACCAGGUGCUGUAAGCU